ACUCGAGCGGCGAACGGGUGAGUAACACGUGGGUGAUCUGCCCUGCACUUCGGGAUAAGCUUGGGAAACUGGGUCUAAUACCGGAUAGGAGCCAUCUUUAGUGUGGUGGUUGGAAAGUUUUUCGGUGUAGGAUGAGCUCGCGGCCUAUCAGCUUGUUGGUGGGGUAAUGGCCUACCAAGGCGGCGACGGGUAGCCGGCCUGAGAGGGUGUACGGCCACAUUGGGACUGAGAUACGGCCCAG
rnacentral:rRNA from 1 species